GAUGAACGCUGGCGGCGUGCCUAAUACAUGCAAGUCGAGCGAACGGACGAGAAGCUUGCUUUUCUGAUGUUAGCGGCGGACGGGUGAGUAACACGUGGAUAACCUACCUAUAAGACUGGGAUAACUUCGGGAAACCGGAGCUAAUACCGGAUAAUAUUUUGAACCUCAUGGUUCAAAAGUGAAAGACGGUCUUGCUGUCACUUAUAGAUGGAUCCGCGCUGCAUUAGCUAGUUGGUAAGGUAACGGCUUACCAAGGCAACGAUGCAUAGCCGACCUGAGAGGGUGAUCGGCCACCCUGGAACUGAGACACGGUCCAGACUCCUACGGGAGGCAGCAGUAGGGAAUCUUCCGCAAUGGGCGAAAGCCUGACGGAGCAACGCCGCGUGAGUGAUGAAGUUCUUCGGAUCGUAAAACUCUGUUAUUAGGGAAGAACAUAUGUGUAAGUAACUGUGCACAUCUUGACGGUACCUAAUCAGAAAGCCACGGCUAACUACGUG
rnacentral:rRNA from 1 species